rnacentral:misc_RNA from 1 species
UUGAUUUAUUUGUUUGUUUUACUCAGAAGUUACAAUAAGAAACAUUAGAGUUUGGGUCCUCUGGCGGGCUGCCGAAGCAGGCACCGCCGAGGCAACAAAUGGUAUGUUCACAGGGGUUUGGGAGUUGUAAACUCGGUAAUGAUCCCUCCGCUGGUUCACCAACGGAGA